rnacentral:rRNA from 1 species
AUUACUGGGCGUAAAGCGAGCGUAGGUGGCUUGAUAAGUCAGAUGUGAAAGCCCCGGGCUUAACCUGGGAACGGCAUCUGAUACUGUAGCUAAGUAGUGAGAGGAAGUAAAUCCAGGUGUAGCGGUGAAAUGCGUAGAGAUCUGGAGGAAUACCGAUGGCGAAGGCAGCCUUCUGGCAUCAUACUGACACUGAGGUUCGAAAGCGUGGGUAGCAAACAGGAUUAGAUACCCUGGUAGUCCACGCCGUAAACGAUGUCUACUAGUCGUUGGGUCCCUUGAGGACUUAGUGACGCAGCUAACGCAAUAAGUAGACCGCCUGGGGAGUACGGCCGCAAGGUUAAAACUCAAAUGAAUUGACGGGGGCCCGCACAAGCGGUGGAGCAUGUGGUUUAAUUCGAUGCAACGCGAAGAACCUUACCUGGUCUUGACAUAUCUAGAAUCCUGCAGAGAUGCGGGAGUGCCUUCGGGAAUUAGAAUACAGGUGCUGCAUGGCUGUCGUCAGCUCGUGUCGUGAGAUGUUGGGUUAAGUCCCGCAACGAGCGCAACCCUUGUCCUUAGUUACCAGCGGUUUGGCCGGGAACUCUAAGGAUACUGCCAGUGACAAACUGGAGGAAGGCGGGGACGACGUCAAGUCAUCAUGGCCCUUACGACCAGGGCUACACACGUGCUACAAUGGUAGGUACAGAGGGCAGCUACACAGCGAUGUGAUGCGAAUCUCAAAAAGCCUAUCGUAGUCCAGAUUGGAGUCUGCAACUCGACUCCAUGAAGUAGGAAUCGCUAGUAAU